CCUAAUCUCUCUCUCUCUCCUUGUAAUAUAUUCAAGAAAUAAAUAAAGAAGAAGCUACUUGUUUAUUACUAUUUCCGUUGGGUUCCCGGCAAAUCAGGUACAUAUCUUUUUACUUAUUAUAGUUAUUCAUUAAAAAACUUCUACCAUCAUCCGGCCGUGACUAUGUCCGGCUAAAACGAUAUCUUAUAUCUAUGCUGAAGAUCUAACUUCGCUGACAUGUUAACUAUGAAAGCUCCAGACUCUAUCAAAAUAUGAAAGAAUCUUUUUAAUUUCUUGACUUGGUUCCAAAAUGGAGGUACAGUCGGGUUCAAUAGACUUAUGUUAACCUUGUCUCUGUGACGCCGUCUAGUAAGUUGUGCUUCUCUAGCCCGUAUUGAUGAGACAAGGGCGAAUUUCCGCACAAUUAGAACUUCCAGACACACAGGUUCAACAUAAGGAUAUUAAAUCUCUGACAGGCCCCAUGUUUGGGUAAAAGAAUC
rnacentral:lncRNA from 1 species